rnacentral:rRNA from 1 species
UGGCCCCUACGGGACGCAGCAGUGAGGAAUAUUGGUCAAUGGUCGGGAGACUGAACCAGCCAAGCCGCGUGAGGGAUGAAGGUACAGAGUAUCGUAAACCUCUUUUGUCAGGGAACAAAGGCGGGGACGUGUCCCCGGAUGAGUGUACCUGAAGAAAAAGCAUCGGCUAACUCCGUGCCAGCAGCCGCGGUAAUACGGAGGAUGCGAGCGUUAUCCGGAUUUAUUGGGUUUAAAGGGUGCGUAGGCGGGCUGUUAAGUCAGCGGGAAAAAUUCGGGGCUCAACCCCGUCCGGCCGGUGAAACUGG